ACCCUACUAUGCCUAGUCGUAACACAACAAUCAAAUAACUAAUUGUUCGCCCAAUAACUACGAGCAUAAGCUUAAAAUUUAAAAGACUUGACGGUACUUCAUAACAACCUAGAGGAGCCUGUCUAAUAACCGAUACUCCACGAUUAACCCCACCUACCCUAGCCUAACAGUCUAUAUACCGCCGUCGCCAGCUUACCUUGUGAAAGAAAUAAAGUAAGCAAAAUAAACCACCAUUAACACGACAGGUCGAGGUGUAACUAAUGGGUGGGUUAAAGAUGGGCUACAUUUUCUAAUACAGAAAACACGAACAAACUAUGAAACUAGAAACUGAAGGCGGAUUUAGCAGUAUGAUAAGAAUAAAAUACUUAACUGAAACCAAUGCAAUGAAGUGCGUACACACCGCCCGUCAUCCCUGCCACCAACCAUAUAAUAUCCAUAAUAUACACAUCCACAAAAACAGGGCAAGUC
rnacentral:rRNA from 1 species